UAAGGAAUAUUGCUCAAUGGGAGAAAUCCUGAAGCAGCAACGCCGCGUGGAGGAUGAAGGGUCUAUGACUUGUAAACUCCUGUAAAGAAGGAAAAAAUUCCCAUUUGAUGGGAGAUGAUGGUACUUCUGGAGUAAGCCCCGGCUAACUACGUGCCAGCAGCCGCGGUAAUACGUAGGGGGCAAGCGUUGUCCGGAUUUACUGGGUGUAAAGGGUGCUCAGGCGGAUUUGUAAGUCAGAGGUGAAAUCUUACAGCUUAACUGUGAAACUGCCUUUGAUACUGCAAGCCUAGAGUAUGGAAGAGAGUGAUGGAAUAUCUGGUGUAGCAGUGAAAUGCGUAGAUAUCAGAUAGAACACCAAUGGCGAAGGCAGUCACUUGGUCCAUUACUGACGCUAAAGCACGAAAGCAUGGGUAGCAAACA
rnacentral:rRNA from 1 species